UACAGAGGAUGCAAGCGUUAUCCGGAAUGAUUGGGCGUAAAGCGUCUGUAGGUGGCUUUUUAAGUCCGCCGUCAAAUCCCAGGGCUCAACUCUGGACAGGCGGUGGAAACUACCAAGCUGGAGUACGGUAGGGGCAGAGGGAAUUUCCGGUGGAGCGGUGAAAUGCGUAGAGAUCGGAAAGAACACCAAUUGCGAAGGCAGCUUACUACACAACGAUUGACGCUGAGGCACGAAAGCGUGGGGAUCAAACAGG
rnacentral:rRNA from 1 species